GUACGGUGUAUCCCCGACGUUCCCGACUGAAGAUUAUUUUCCUACAUUUUUUGGACUCGUUUCGAUUUUAUAAAGAGUCUAACCUGCCCAUGGCUGGUAACCCUUUUAGAUAAGCUCAGCUUGAUUCCGAACGAGGAUAGUCUGUCCGUGACCUCCUACGGGAAUCGUAGUGCGCGCCGGAAAAAUUAAACUUAAAUUGAAGUGGUAACCAGUUAAACCAAGUUAAACUGAAGAAGAUUUCUAAGUGCUAAUCUCGAAGUUAGUGUGUGGUCUAGACAAAGUAGUACGGAAAACAAUAGUACGGGAAUAAUUGUGAUAGUACGCUUAAAGAUCUAAACCACCACACGUGGCAAAUCGUAAUCAACCAAAUUGUAAAAUCAUCAUUAUCUACAAGAAAAAGGACGGUAAUCGCUGGAAGUGGGUUCGGUGGCUUUCCGACGCGCACGGGCAUCCCUCACGCCUAAACGAGGUCUGUGGACCGACAGUGGGCAUUCCAUCGCCCAAGCAAACGACCAUCUCGUCAACCCGGUAGCCAACAGCCGGCCGACGAAGCAGCCAUCGCUAUUAGCCACACGUGAACCACCUUGUCGCCCCGGUAGCCAGAAACCGGCCGACGAAUCCGUCAUCGCUAUUAGCCAGCUGUGUGCCCGUUUCAAUCAACCAUCGUGUCGCCCGGUAGCCAAAAGCCGGUCGGCAAUUCCGUCGUCGCAUCAGUCACACGUCCGCCCAGCCAAGCAACCCUCUCGUCAGCCUGCCGAGCCGCCAUCGCUGUAAGCCACCAGUUCGCUGAGCAAACCUCCUGCAACCAGCAUUGUUCUCUGUCAAGCCGGUGGAGCGAACCAGAAGGUCCACGUGUCACCAUCGCAUCGCUGCCUACGCUGAAUCAACGUCCGAUCGUCGCCACGACGGUGAGAUUGGAGUCUAUCCCGUGGACCUAUUCACCGAUCAAGUGAUCGGUCCCCGAAGCAGCUGCUACCGGCAACCAUUCGCCAAUUCCGGUCCUCGGAUGCCGCUACCAGCGACAUCAUAUGCCCUAAGAGGCCAACGAGUGAU